rnacentral:rRNA from 1 species
AAUGCACGCUGGCGGCGGGCCUAACACAUGCAAGUCGAGCGAGCGGCGGACGGGUGAGUAAUGUCUGGGGAUCUGCCCGAUGGAGGGGGAUAAAUACUGGAAACGGUAGCUAAUCACGCAUACUAUCGGAUGAGCCCAUAGGGGAUUAGCUAGUAGGUGGGGUAAAGGUUCACGUAGGCGACGCUCUCUAGCUGGUCUGAGAAGAUGACCAGCCACCGUGGGACGGCGACACGGCACAGACGCCUACGGGAGGCGGCAGUGGGGAAUAUUGCACAAUGGGCGCAAGCCUGAUGCAGCCAUGCCGCGUGUAUGAAAAAGGCCUUCGGGUUGUAAAGUACUUUCAGCGGGGAGGCGUUACCCGCAGAAGAAGCACCGGCUAACUCCGUGCCAGCAGCCGCGGUAAUAC